GACGAACGCUGGCGGCGUGCUUAACACAUGCAAGUCGAACGGAAAGGCCCUGCUUUUGUGGGGUGCUCGAGUGGCGAACGGGUGAGUAACACGUGAGUAACCUGCCCUUGACUUUGGGAUAACUUCAGGAAACUGGGGCUAAUACCGGAUAGGAGCUCCUGCUGCAUGGUGGGGGUUGGAAAGUUUCGGCGGUUGGGGAUGGACUCGCGGCUUAUCAGCUUGUUGGUGGGGUAGUUGCUUACCAAGGCUUUGACGGGUAGCCGGCCUGAGAGGGUGACCGGCAACAUUGGGACGAAGAUACGGCCGACAAGCCUCCGGGGGGAAGCAGUGGGGAAUAAUGCACAAUGGGCGGAAGAAUGAUGCAGGAGCGACGCGUGCGGGAGGAAGACGUUCGGGGUGUAAACAGCUUCCUCCUGCGACGAAGAGGCAGUGACGGUAACGGGUAAAGAAGCACCGGCUAACUACGUG
rnacentral:rRNA from 1 species